rnacentral:lncRNA from 10 species
GCAGCCCGGGCUGGCUCUCCUCCCACAGACCCUGAUUCCACAUGGCCCGGAGCACCCUGACUUGCUUUCUCAAGCCCCAUUUUCCACAUUCCUUCCUGGGUUGGAGAUGGCCGGGACCGAGAGAGACAAAGCGGACCCCUUAGCAUUGAGGCACGAGAUGAUGAAGCUAAGCCGACAGAAGAAAAGCUGACCCCACAGAAGAUGUUUCACCAUUGAAUGAUUUCAUACGACUAUCUGGAUUUCUGGCUUCUCUUGAAAACUGAACAUCUGGUUUCACCUUCCCUCCUGGCUGGGAUUGUGGCUGCCAUCCCAUUUUAGAUGGGUCACCCUUUCUCCGGUUUUCAACAUUCCCCAUCACUGCGUAUAGCUGUACUGUUCAAUAAGGUCAUGGGUGAAAUUGAAAUUCCAGACCGCCCUUCUUCGUGGCAAACCUUUAGAAAUUAGAUUGUACUAGGUCAGUGCUUCUGAAACCUGAAUGUGAACCCCUGGGUGAGAUUAUGAUUCAGUUGGUCUAAGGUGGGACCCACAAAUCUGCAUUUUGACACGUGCCAAGAAGAGGCCAGUGCUGCUAGUCCGGGACCAUACUCUGAAAGGUAGGCAUUAGCCAGCCAGCUUCGUAAAGACUGGAAUGAUAUCAGUCUUGUUUCUUUUUUUUUUUUUUCUUUUUGAGACAGAGUCUCAUUCUGUCACCCAGGCUGGAGUGCAGUGGUGAGAUCUCGGCUCAGUUCACUGCAACCUCCGCCUCCUGGGUCCAAGUGAUUAUCCUGCCUCAGCCUCCUGAGUAGCUGGGAUUACAGGCAUGCACCACCAUGCGCGGCUAAUUUUUUUUUUUUUUUUUUAAUUUUUAGUAGAGAUGGGAUUUCUGCAUGUUGGUCGGGCUAGUCUCGAACUCCUGACCCCGUGAUCCUCCCACCUCGCUCUCCCAAAGUGCUGGGACCACAGGCAUGAGCCACCGCACUAGGCCUUAGUCUUGUUUCUUAUUGGCAUGUGGACACCGGCAACUAUUUGGAGACUGAAUGAGUGAAUGACUGAAUGAGCUGCACUCAGGAAUGUAGAUAACGCUC